AUGGAGCUGGGAGCUAGGCAAAGGGCUUCCACAGGCUCAAGCAGUAUUAUUUACCUCACUACUAUAGGAGCGCCAAGACUUACGCUGCGUUUGCAAAGCUUUUUGGUCACAGCUGUACUGCUGACGAAGGCAUUAUUUGCACUGGUGUGGCAAACAUCUGAACAAGACCAAACUACCAGCAGCAGAAUAAAACACAAAGGGUGUGGAGUUCGGGCGGUACGAAGACGUAAUUUCUGCUUCAUGAACACACUUACAGAAAGAGGAAAGAUUUCUGGGAAGUAAGUGUGUUUAAACAGAAAAUAAACUUCAAAGGAUAUCAUAAAAAAGGGAGGGU
rnacentral:lncRNA from 1 species